rnacentral:rRNA from 1 species
GGGAUAACUACCGGAAACGGUAGCUAAUACCGGAUAAUUUAUUUUGCAGCAUUGUGAAAUAAUGAAAGGCGGAGCAAUCUGUCACUUGAGGAUGGGCCUGCGGCGCAUUAGCUAGUUGGUGGGGUAACGGCCCACCAAGGCGACGAUGCGUAGCCGACCUGAGAGGGUGAACGGCCACACUGGGACUGAGACACGGCCCAGACUCCUACGGGAGGCAGCAGUAGGGAAUCUUCCGCAAUGGGCGAAAGCCUGACGGAGCAACGCCGCGUGAGUGAUGAAGGUUUUCGGAUCGUAAAGCUCUGUUGCCAAGGAAGAACGUCUUCUAGAGUAACUGCUAGGAGAGUGACGGUACUUGAGAAGAAAGCCCCGGCUAACUACGUGCCAGCAGCCGCGGUAAUACGUAGGGGGGCAAGCGUUGUCCGGAAUUAUUUGGG